rnacentral:rRNA from 1 species
UACGUAGGGUGCAAGCGUUAAUCGGAAUUACUGGGCGUAAAGCGUGCGCAGGCGGUUAUGCAAGACCGAGGUGAAAUCCCCGGGCUCAACCUGGGAACUGCCUUUGUGACUGCAUGGCUAGAGUACGGUAGAGGGGGAUGGAAUUCCGCGUGUAGCAGUGAAAUGCGUAGAUAUGCGGAGGAACACCGAUGGCGAAGGCAAUCCCCUGGACCUGUACUGACGCUCAUGCACGAAAGCGUGGGGAGCAAACAGG